AUGGGAGUAUUUAAAGUAAUGUAUUGGUCUGUUUCUCCAGAUGGAAUUUGCUACAGGGAGCGAAGAAGAAUUAGGUCACAAAUGUGGGCUAUCUGUGGGCAAUUGUAUCUGAAUACUCUGGCCCUGCAAGCUGCUCAGAAUGAAAAAGCACAGGUUGAUGCCAGCUUUGAGAAAGGAGCCAUUGUGGACUUCUAAAUGUGUGGGGCCUGACCCUGCAGUGCUUCGGCAUCUCAAACUCCUUCACAGAAACACAAGAUGAACAUUUCCUAUUGAGACCUGUGUAUGACUUGGAUGACUAGAGAAAAAUCACUGUGGAACUAGUUGGAUAAUACCAGAAAACACCUGAGGUUCUUUUAAUAGGAAGGGCAAGCUAUAUUAAUAAUCAGCAUCUUUAAAUAGAUUAAAUACUACAUAAAAGAACAGGUAUUCCUCCUUUCUUUUAGCUGCUUUCCCCCUUCCAAGGAUGCAAAAACCCAGUUGUUUGCUUUACCAAUGUAUUCUGUGGUCUGACACAAGUAAUUUGUUUGUACAGGCCUUAUCUCAGUCUGUAAACCAUUACUCCUGUAGAAACAUAAGUAGCUUCUCCCAGCAGGGCUAAGAAUGGGUUCUUCUUCAAGGAACUAAAGAGUAUCUUAAAUCUGCUUGAUAUAUGAAAACCUCCCCUACAAAAUACAACAAGAACACAAAUUGGGAGGACACUGGUAACAAAGACACAAGAGUCUGUUGAAAAGACACAAGAAGCUGGCUAAGUUAGAUAACAGUUUGGUACAAACAGCUUUUAGCUAAAACAGACUUUAUCAUUUCAGUGGAAAUUUAUGCAAGUGGCUUGAAUUGUUUGAGCUUUUUCCCCUUGUGUAGAGUAAAAUAAUUUUGGCUUAUAGAAAAAUAUAAUAGAAUUAGAAAUCUUAGUGAGAAGUUUGGUAACUUAAUCCCAAAUGCAGUGGAAGAUCAUAGAAGCAAUAGAAUGGUUUGGAUUGGAAGGGACCUUUCAAGGUCACCUAGUCUAACCCCUCUGCCAUGAACAAGGACAUCUUCAACUAGAUUAGGUGACUCAGUGCACCCAGUUGCUUACUUUAAUUAAGAGUUUCUGAAAUAUAAAAAUGCAUCACACACUAACCAGCAGUAACCUUCUGUACACUAGUGGGCUUUUCGUAUUUAUGGUUUUACUUGCAACGGCUGCAUCUUUUGGUCCUGUCCUGUGGAAAGCUCUGAAAUGAAAGUUGUCUGUGCUCCCAUAGAAACUGUG
rnacentral:lncRNA from 1 species